rnacentral:rRNA from 1 species
UUAUUAAAGGAUUCCGGUAAAGGAUGGGGAUGCGUUCCAUUAGGUUGUUGGUGAGGUAACGGCCCACCAAGCCUUCGAUGGAUAGGGGUUCUGAGAGGAAGGUCCCCCACAUUGGAACUGAGACACGGUCCAAACUCCUACGGGAGGCAGCAGUGAGGAAUAUUGGUCAAUGGGCGCUAGCCUGAACCAGCCAAGUAGCGUGAAGGAUGAAGGCUCUAUGGGUCGUAAACUUCUUUUAUAUAAGAAUAAAGUGCAGUAUGUAUACUGUUUUGUAUGUAUUAUAUGAAUAAGGAUCGGCUAACUCCGUGCCAGCAGCCGCGGUAAUACGGAGGAUCCGAGCGUUAUCCGGAUUUAUUGGGUUUAAAGGGAGCGU